CUUGCGGCCAUAUCACGUUGAAACACCAGUUCUCAUACGAUCACCGAAGUUAAGUAACAUUGAGCUUGGUUAGUUCUUAGAUGGGCGACCGCUAUGGAUUACCAGAUACUGUAAG